UGAUUUUCAGGUGUUAGCACUUGGGGGAGCUGCUCUGCCCCCUGCCUGGUGCAGGGCUCAGUGAGUAAUGUUUAUCCUGUUCAUCUGGUGAGGCCACUGUGAGGCUCAGUGGGGGUUGUUUACCCUGUGAGGCCCCAGGAGGAAC
rnacentral:miRNA from 1 species